AGUGUUCUGAGCAGGCCCUGGGGAGAUGGAGGAAGGAAGAGUUGUGCAUGAAUAAACAGGUGAAAGCUUGGUUUCCGAAGCCUUCAGAAGAAGGUGCCUGCUUCAAACCAGGCAUGUGGGAGAUACAAACACAUCUAUAUGCAAGACACGCCCAAUCAUAAGAGUUUGUUUUCAGACUGUAAUAGCAGUGAUGCUGGUUUGGUAAAAUAAAAAAACUAGAUAUGCUGGAAARUGGAGUGAUCUCUUUGCUGAAGACAGACAUCCUUGUGGUGCCAACGCACAUGGGCUGAAUGAAGACUGCUGUGCUCACGUGGUCAAGGGGCUGAGUCCGCACCUGCGUGCAAGGGGCUCCACYGCUCACCCUGUACUUACUGCCUUCGCRUGGGAAGGAGGCUGUACAGCGUCAGCCCGGGGUGGGCGCGUGCGCAUUGUGCCCCGAAGCACCGACUGCAGCCAUCCUGUAGCCACGAGAAGUCCUGUGAUGGUUGAGGCCCACAAAUGCGCACUGCCACUGUUGUGCUCUGUGCUGAAUAUUGCAGAGCUACCCCAGACUGGAGACGUCAUCUUAAGAUCCUAGAAACGGCCAGUGUGGACUGGACAGUAACAUUUUUCUUGCGCCCUGUUGGGAAGGAGCUGCUUGCCUCAUUCC